UCUCCGUUGGUGAACCAGCGGAGGGAUCAUUACCGAGUUUACAACUCCCAAACCCCCAUGUGAACGUUACCAAACUGUUGCCUCGGCGGGAAAUUCAUGCCCCGGGCGCGUCGCAGCCCCGGACCAAGGCGCCCGCCGGGGACCAACCAAAACUCUUUUGUAUGUCCCUCGCGGACUUUUAUAAUUCUGAACCAUCUCGGCGCCCCUAGCGGGCGUUUCGAAAAUGAAUCAAAACUUUCAACAACGGAUCUCUUGGUUCUG
rnacentral:misc_RNA from 1 species